ACAUUCAUCUGCCUCUCAGCAUUUUUAUGAUGUUGAUCUGCUUGUGCUGGUAAUAGAGAGUUUCUUGAUUCUAUGGAGAAGACAACCACCAGAAUCUGUGGAAAACACACGGCUUGGAAGAGCAAUCAGAAAGAUUGGAAGGCUCAUUGACACUUACCUCCAAGCAGUUGCAAGGGAUAAGAACAUGCCUGUAAGAAAAGUAGUAUCACUUGCUGAAGCUUUGCCUGAUAUUUCCAGGAAAGAUCAUGAUGACCUUUACAAGGCUAUCAACAUUUAUCUGAAGGUAAUAUAUUAAAAACCAUAUGAGAUAUGAGAUAUCAGAUAUGUGUUCUGAAAAUCAGGUAUUUUUCAAGCUUACUAUUUCAUUUAAAACAGGAGCAUCCUGAUCUAAGCAAGGAAGACAAGAAGCGUCUGUGCAGGAGUCUAGACUGUCAAAAGUUGUCUCCAGAAGUGCGA
rnacentral:lncRNA from 1 species